rnacentral:rRNA from 1 species
UACGAGGGGAGCUAGCGUUGUUCGGAAUUACUGGGCGUAAAGGGCGCGUAGGCGGUGUGUCAAGUCAGGCGUGAAAGCCCCGGGCUCAACCUGGGAACCGCGCUUGAGACUGGCACGCUAGAGUUCGGGAGAGGAUGGUGGAAUUCCCAAGUGUAGAGGUGAAAUUACGUAGAUAUUGGGAAGAACACCGGAUGGCGAAGGCAGCCAUCUGGACCGACAGCGUGACGCUGAAG